rnacentral:rRNA from 1 species
AACGGCCGUACCAUGCUGAAUAUACCGGUUCUCGUUAGAUCACCGAAGUUAAGCAUCAUUGGGCGCGGUCAGUACUUGGGUGGGUGACCACCUGUGAACACUGCGCGCCGU